rnacentral:rRNA from 1 species
AGUUUGAUUAUGGCUCAGAUUGAACGCUGGCGGAUGUUUACACAUGCAAGUCGAACGGCAGCACGGACUUCGGUCUGGUGGCGAGUGGCGAACGGGUGAGUAAUGUAUCGGAACGUGCCUAGUAGCGGGGAUAACUACGCGAAAGGUAGCUAAUACCGCAUACGCCCUUCGGGGGAAAGCGGGGACUAAGCCUCGCACUAUUAGAGCGGCCGAUAUCGGAUUAGCUAGUUGGUGGGGUAACGGCUCACCACAAGACGAUCCGUAGCUGGUUUGAGAGGACGACCAGCCACACUGGGACCGAGACACGGCCCAGACUCCUACGGGAGGCAGCAGUGGGGAAUUUUUGGAUAGAUGGGGGAAACCCUGAUCCAGCCAUCCCGCGUGUGCGAUGAAGGCUCUCGUCAGGUAAGCACUUUUGCAGGAGAAACGGCACGGGAUAAUACCCCAGGUGCAACUGACGGUACCUGCAGAAUAAGCACCGGCUAACUACGUCAGCAGCCGCGGUAAUACGUAGGGUGCAAGCGUUAAUCGGAAUUACUGGGCGUAAAGCGUGCGCAGGCGGCUCCGAAAGAAAGAUGCAAAUCCGUGAGCUUAACUUUGGAACUGCAUUUUUAACUACCGAGCUAGAGUGGUGUCAGAGGGAGGUGGAAUUCCGCGUGUAGCAGUGAAUGCGGUAGAUAUGCGGAGGAACACCGAUGGCGAAGGCAGCCUCCUGGGAUAACACUGACGCUCAUGCACGAAAGCGUGGGAGCAAACAGGAUUAGAUACCCUGGUAGUUCACGCCCUAAACGAUGUCAACUAGCUGUUAGCUCGCCUUGGUAGCGCAGCGCCAACGCGUUGACCGCCUGGGAGUACGGUCGCAAGAUUAAAAACUCAAAGACUACGGGACCCGCACAAGCGGUGGAUGAUGUGGAUUAAUUCGAUGCAACGCGAAAACUUACCACCUCACAUGUUCCGAAUCCCGAAGAGAUUUGGGAGUGCUCGCAAGAGAACCGGAACACAGGUGCUGCAUGGCUGUCGUCAGCUCGUGUCGAGAUGUUGGGUUAAGUCCCAACGAGCGCAACCCUUGUCAUUAGUUGCUACGAAAGGGCACUCUAAUGAGACUGCCGGUGACAAACCGGAGGAAGGCAUGACGUCAAGUCCCUCAUGGCCCUUAUGGGUAGGGCUUCACACGUCAUACAAUGGUCGGGACAGAGGGUCGCCAACCCGCGAGGGGGAGCCAAUCCCAGAAACCCGAUCGUAGUCCGAUCGCAGUCUGCAACUCGACUGCGUAAGUCGGAAUCGCUAGUAAUCGCGGAUCAGCAUGUCGCGGUGAAUACGUUCCCGGGUCUUGUACACACCGCCCGUCACACCAUGGGAGUGGGUUUUACCAGAAGUAGUUAGCCAGCACCGUAAGGAGGGCGAUUACCACGGUAGGAUUCAUGACUGGGGUGAAGUCGUAACAAGGUAG